rnacentral:tRNA from 1 species
UCCCCGGUAGUCCAAUGGCUAAGGCACUGCACUCCCAAUGCAAGGGGUCCAGGUUCAAUCCUUGGUCAGGUAA